CCUACGGGGGGCAGCAGUGGGGAAUAUUGCACAAUGGGGGAAACCCUGAUGCAGCGACGCCGCGUGAGUGAAGAAGUAUUUCGGUAUGUAAAGCUCUAUCAGCAGGGAAGAAAAUGACGGUACCUGAUUAAGAAGCCCCGGCUAAAUACGUGCCAGCAGCCGCGGUAAUACGUAGGGGGCAAGCGUUAUCCGGAUUUACUGGGUGUAAAGGGAGCGUAGACGGCAGCACAAGUCUGGAGUGAAAUGCCGGGGCUUAACCCCGGAACUGCUGUGGAAACUGUGCAGCGAGAGUGCAGGAGAGGUAAGUGGAAUGCGUGGUGUAGCGGUGAAAUGCGUAGAUAUUAGGAGGAACGCCAGUGGCGAAGGCGGCUUACUGGAGUGUGACUGACGUUGAGGCUCGAAAGCGUGGGGAGCGAACAGGAUUAGAUACCCGUGUAGUC
rnacentral:rRNA from 1 species